rnacentral:SRP_RNA from 1 species
GCCAGGCGUGGUGGCCCGUGCCUGUAGUCUCAGCUACUCGGGAGGCUGAGGUGGGAGGAUGGCUUGAGCCCAGGAGUUAUGGGCUGUAGCGCGCUAUGCCGAUUGGGUGUCUGCACUAAGUUCGGCAUCAAUAUGGCGACCUCCCAGGAGCGGGGGACCACCGGGUUGCCUAAGGAGGGGUGAACUGGCCGAGGUCAGAAAUGGAGCAGGUCAAAACUCCCGUGCUGAUCAAUAGUGGGAUCGCGCCUGUGAAUAGCCACUGCACUCCAGCCUGGGCAACAUAGUGAGACCCCAUCUCU